UUGGAGGGCAAGUCUGGUGCCAGCAGCCGCGGUAAUUCCAGCUCCAAUAGCGUAUAUUAAAGUUGUUGCAGUUAAAAAGCUCGUAGUUGAAUUUCGGGAUCAAUUUAUUGGUCGUGCUAUUGUACGUACUGGUAUUAUUGAUUCCUACCUUCUGACGAACCAUGAUGUCAUUAAUUUGGUGUCAUGGGGAAUCAGGACUGUUACUUUGAAAAAAUUAGAGUGUUUAAAGCAGGCUUUAGCUUGAAUACAUUAGCAUGGAAUAACGAAAUAGGACGUUUGAUUCUAUUUUGUUGGUUUCUAGGAUCGACGUAAUGAUUAAUAGGGAUAGUUGGGGGCAUUAGUAUUCAAUUGUCAGAGGUGAAAUUCUUGGAUUUAUUGAAGACUAACUACUGCGAAAGCAUUUGCCAAGGAUGUUUUCAUUAAUCAAGAACGAAAGUUAGGGGAUCGAAGACGAUCAGAUACCGUCGUAGUCUUAACCAUAAACUAUGCCGACUAGGGAUCGGAUGAUGUUAUUUUUAAUGACUCAUUCGGCGCCUUACGGGAAAC
rnacentral:rRNA from 1 species